GGCUACGUAGCUCAGUUGGUUAGAGCGCGGCACUCAUAAUGCCGAUGUCAGUAGUUCGACUCUACUCGUAGCCACCA
rnacentral:tRNA from 1 species